rnacentral:rRNA from 1 species
GCAGUCGAGCGGACAGAUGGGAGCUUGCUCCCUGAUGUCAGCGGCGGACGGGUGAGUAACACGUGGGUAACCUGCCUGUAAGACUGGGAUAACUCCGGGAAACCGGGGCUAAUACCGGAUGCUUGAUUGAACCGCAUGGUUCAAUUAUAAAAGGUGGCUUUUAGCUACCACUUACAGAUGGACCCGCGGCGCAUUAGCUAGUUGGUGAGGUAACGGCUCACCAAGGCAACGAUGCGUAGCCGACCUGAGAGGGUGAUCGGCCACACUGGGACUGAGACACGGCCCAGACUCCUACGGGAGGCAGCAGUAGGGAAUCUUCCGCAAUGGACGAAAGUCUGACGGAGCAACGCCGCGUGAGUGAUGAAGGUUUUCGGAUCGUAAAACUCUGUUGUUAGGGAAGAACAAGUACCGUUCGAAUAGGGCGGUACCUUGACGGUACCUAACCAGAAAGCCACGGCUAACUACGUGCCAGCAGCCGCGGUAAUACGUAGGUGGCAAGCGUUGUCCGGAAUUAUUGGGCGUAAAGCGCGCGCAGGCGGUUUCUUAAGUCUGAUGUGAAAGCCCCCGGCUCAACCGGGGAGGGUCAUUGGAAACUGGGGAACUUGAGUGCAGAAGAGGAGAGUGGAAUUCCACGUGUAGCGGUGAAAUGCGUAGAGAUGUGGAGGAACACCAGUGGCGAAGGCGACUCUCUGGUCUGUAACUGACGCUGAGGCGCGAAAGCGUGCGGAGCGAACAGGAUUAGAUACCCUGGUAGUCCACGCCGUAAACGAUGAGUGCUAAGUGUUAGAGGGUUUCCGCCCUUUAGUGCUGCAGCAAACGCAUUAAGCACUCCGCC